rnacentral:rRNA from 1 species
GAGUUUGAUCGUGGCUCAGGACGAACGCUGGCGGCGUGCCUAACACAUGCAAGUCGAACGAGUCCACUCUUUCGGGAGUGAGGCGAGUGGCGGACGGGUGAGUAACACGUGAGCAAUCUGUCCCUGUGUGGGGGACAACCCGGGGAAACCCGGGCUAAUACCGCAUGGGCAGAAGCUUCUUUGGGAGUUUCUGGGAAAGAGGCCCUCUUUACAAUGGUCUCAUGCAGGGAGGAGCUCGCGGGCUAUCAGCUAGUUGGUAGUGGUAACGGCCUACCAAGGCGACGACGGCUACGGGGUCUGAGAGGACGACCCCGCACAUUGGAACUGAGACACGGUCCAGACUCCUACGGGAGGCAGCAGUGGGGAAUUUUGGGCAAUGGCCGCAAGGCUGACCCAGCGACGCCGCGUGCGGGAUGACGCCUCUCGGGGUGUAAACCGCUGUCAGAGGGGAAGAAUGAAUGCACGUGUAAAAUAAUAGCGUGCAAUGUGACGGUACCCUC